rnacentral:rRNA from 1 species
CAGUAGCCACGGGAAUACGAGGGGGGCAAGCGUUGUUCGGAAUUACUGGGCGUAAAGCGCACGUAGGCGGCUUUGUAAGUCAGAGGUGAAAGCCUGGAGCUCAACUCCAGAACUGCCUUUGAGACUGCAUCGCUUGAAUCCAGGAGAGGUGAGUGGAAUUCCGAGUGUAGAGGUGAAAUUCGUAGAUAUUCGGAAGAACACCAGUGGCGAAGGCGGCUCACUGGACUGGUAUUGACGCUGAGGUGCGAAAGCGUGGGGAGCAAACAGGAUUAGAUACCCCAGUAGUCCCUGUCUCUUAUAC